AUUGAACGCUGGCGGCAUGCUUUACACAUGCAAGUCGAACGGUAACAGGUUAAGCUGACGAGUGGCGAACGGGUGAGUAAUGCAUCGGAACGUGCCCGGUCGUGGGGGAUAACGCAGCGAAAGCUGCGCUAAUACCGCAUACGAUCUGAGGAUGAAAGCGGGGGACCGUAAGGCUUCGCGCGAUCGGAGCGGCCGAUGUCAGAUUAGGUAGUUGGUGGGGUAAAGGCUCACCAAGCCAACGAUCUGUAGCUGGUCUGAGAGGACGACCAGCCACACUGGGACUGAGACACGGCCCAGACUCCUACGGGAGGCAGCAGUGGGGAAUUUUGGACAAUGGGCGAAAGCCUGAUCCAGCAAUGCCGCGUGCAGGAAGAAGGCCUUCGGGUUGUAAACUGCUUUUGUACGGAGCGAAAAGGUCUCCUCUAAUACAGGGGGCUCAUGACGGUACCGUAAGAACAAGCACCGGCUAACUACGUGCCAGCAGCCGCGGUAA
rnacentral:rRNA from 1 species